GUCGAACUCUGGCAUGCUGUGCACGUGUUCCUUUGGUCCAGCCAUGUUUAACCCGGGUGCAAGUGGAUGGAAAGUUCUAGAACAACGAAGUGGCUACAAGAUCACGGAAUGGUCUACUGACGAGAAUCGAAGACCACCAGUGGCAUGUCGAGCCCAGUAUGUGCAGAUACAGUCACCUGGAGGGCUUAUUUGUGAUAAUGGUCUACUGACGAGAAUCGUACGACAUAGUUGACUCCACCAGGCUGUCUGUAGGAUGCGGCCAUGUCAGUCCCCAGGGGACCUUGAGUCUGGACACCAGUGAAUUGAUGUGGUGGCCACGCCUCCUGUACUGUGACUUCAUCUGAUAUUUGCAAGACUUUGCACAAGUCAAUUUAUAAGACUUGUACUUUCAUAUAUAUUUUUUUUGUGAAUUGCAUGUCAUGCUUUAGAAAAAGCAGUGGAAUAAAA
ensembl:lncRNA